AACCUGUGACAGCUGCGUCGAGGAGUAAGGCCCUCCAUACAUGGGUUGUGCUUAACCCCUGCGCCACCACAGCACACCUCACCCCUGAAGUAGAUUUUUG